AUGCCGGAGUCGGAUAAGACUUGGCUCGCCUCAUACCACCUCACCGAUGUCGCCGCAUUAUGGUAUGGCCACCUCGAGACUAAGCUGGGCCAGCGGCCGUCCUGGACCGAGUUUCAAAAACUGAUCGCCAACCACUUCGGACCGCCGACCCGCGCCAACCCCUUUGGCGAGCUGAUCUCCACCCGCCGCUCCGGCACCGUGGCAGAAUACUCCAAGCGCUUUCUAGAGAAUCUCUCUCGGGUGCGCCCCAUUGCUGACGACGAUGAGCGGGAUAUCUUCACCAACAACUUGGGCGAACCUAUGAAAACUCAGGUCGAGAUGCUGAAACCGACGACUUUGGACGCAGCUAUGGACUUAGAAAUCUCCUUUGAGCACCUCAAUACUGUCACCAGCACCGCGACCACUCCGGGCCGGCCCAGCCGUCCACUCCGCCCCAUGGCUGGACCUACUCCGGCCUUGCCGGACUCCUCCAACCCCACGCCCGCGCUUGUCUUUAAAUGA
rnacentral:rRNA from 1 species